CAGAGGGCGCGGGAGCCGGAUGGCAGGUGCCUCUCAGGUCCGCAGGGAUCCCUCUCAGGUCGGCAGGGGCCUCUCUCAGAUGCUGCCUGUUUGAAAUGGAUGCGGAGCCAGCUCUCAGGGUCAGGGCUGUGAGCUGGAAGCCUUCUCCACGUUGACAUUUAUUUACCAUAAGAAAGUCAGCACACUUUAUGGCUGGGAUCUAACAAGGCCUAAGGAGAUAUCUGCUGUGCGUGCAUCGGUGUCGAUCUUCUGACUGGGACCAGCAGAGCGCAUCUUCUGGGCCCGGGAUGGUGUCCAUGAGGGAUUUUCAGUAAAUUUUAGCUCUUCAAUAUUACCACUGGGUGACCAGAGCAGAAGAGAAGCCAAUAUCACAUCCUCUACUGCUAAGGACAUUUUCAACAGAAACUUUGGGACUUCUCUUGAAAGAUCCUGAGAUCCUUUGCCACCAUGAGGUAUCACAGCCUCCUCUGCCCCUUCCCUACUGUUCAGCAAGAGCAAUCGUUUUGCAAAUUUAUGCCCUGAAAGCAGAAUGCUAGUCCAGUAGCCCCCUAAAGUAGAUAUUUUUAAAGUUACUCAUUAUGUAGGUAAUGUGGGUUCUGAGUAUUUGACAUUAAAGAAUGUACACAAGGUAUUUGGGGCUGGAACGAAUGACUUAAUGUGAGAACCAACACUGCCCGCACCCCCCACAUCUGUCACCAGCUCUACCUCCAAACACCUGGUGCAGCUGCCCCCAUCCGGCCGUCUCCGCCCCACCUUUGCCCAUUCUUCCACCUUGAAACCAGUCUAG